UUAAAUUGAAGAGUUUGAUCAUGGCUCAGAUUGAACGCUGGCGGCAGGCCUAACACAUGCAAGUCGAACGGUAACAGGAAGAAGCUUGCUUCUUUGCUGACGAGUGGCGGACGGGUGAGUAAUGUCUGGGAAACUGCCUGAUGGAGGGGGAUAACUACUGGAAACGGUAGCUAAUACCGCAUAACGUCGCAAGACCAAAGAGGGGGACCUUCGGGCCUGUCG
rnacentral:rRNA from 1 species